rnacentral:rRNA from 1 species
UCUGCCCUGCACUCUGGGAUAAGCUUGGGAAACUGGGUCUAAUACCGGAUAUGACCACAGCAUGCAUGUGUUGUGGUGGAAAGAUUUAUCGGUGCAGGAUGGGCCCGCGGCCUAUCAGCUUGUUGGUGGGGUAAUGGCCUACCAAGGCGACGACGGGUAGCCGACCUGAGAGGGUGACCGGCCACACCGGGACUGAGACACGGCCCAGACUCCUACGGGAGGCAGCAGUGGGGAAUAUUGCACAAUGGGCGGAAGCCUGAUGCAGCGACGCCGCGUGAGGGAUGAAGGCCUUCGGGUUGUAAACCUCUUUCAGCAGGGACGAAGCGUGAGUGACGGUACCUGCAGAAGAAGCACCGGCUAACUACGUGCCAGCAGCCGCGGUAAUACGUAGGGUGCGAGCGUUGUCCGGAAUUACUGGGCGUAAAGAGUUCGUAGGCGGUUUGUCGCGUCGUUUGUGAAAACCCGGGGCUCAACUUCGGGCUUGCAGGCGAUACGGGCAGACUUGAGUGUUUCAGGGGAGACUGGAAUUCCUGGUGUAGCGGUGAAAUGCGCAGAUAUCAGGAGGAACACCGGUGGCGAAGGCGGGUCUCUGGGAAACAACUGACGCUGAGGAACGAAAGCGUGGGUAGCAAACAGGAUUAGAUACCCUGGUAGUCCACGCCGUAAACGGUGGGCGCUAGGUGUGGGUUCCUUCCACGGGAUCUGUGCCGUAGCUAACGCAUUAAGCGCC